UACGAGGGGGGCAAGCGUUGUUCGGAAUUAUUGGGCGUAAAGGGCGCGUAGGCGGCUGAACAAGUCAAAGGUGAAAUCCCUCGGCUCAACUGAGGAACUGCCUUUGAAACUGUUCGGCUUGAGGCCGGGAGGGGGUAGCGGAAUUCCCAGUGUAGCGGUGAAAUGCGUAGAUAUUGGGAGGAACACCAGUGGCGAAGGCGGCUACCUGGACCGGUUCUGACGCUGAGGCGCGAAAGCGUGGGUAGCAAACAGG
rnacentral:rRNA from 1 species